rnacentral:lncRNA from 1 species
GGGGGGAGGGUUUGGGGUUUAUUUUGGGUAGGGAAAGGAAGUAAUUUAACUCGCAUAAGUGGUGAGGCUUCUGUAGGAGACCAUUCAAGAGUUGGUGUCAAUGUGUAUGUCCUGAGAAGGUGGUAAGAGGGACCUUGGGACACAACUCACUUUGAAAUGCAUUCCCGUUGUGCUAGCAUGCUGCAUGUCCAGAUGAAUUUGUUCUAUGGCUAGAAUCGACAAGAUUGACGAUCGUUUCAGGCAUAAGUAAGGCUGAGUUAUGGUUCUACUAUGUACCCAAAGUCCGGAUAGGAGGCAAGAUCUCUGGAACCCCAAGACUGGUGUCCUUUGCUCUCUUGCAGUCCUGAAGUCUUACAGCCUGCAAAUGUCUGGCUCCUGCAAUGCCUGGCGUCUCCCAUUUUUCUGAUACUAACCGGACGGACGCGAAGAGUCAAACUUACCUCGUUGAUUUCCUUAAGAAGAGGAAUUCUGUCCUCUGCUUUCAAGGCCUUGCUUGAACUUACUGGUAAGUUACUAAUGUGUGACUCAAACUGUUACAGAAAGGGCCACGUUGGGGGAAGAGGCAGCAGGGAGGAGAUGGAGGGCUUGCACAGCUGUGACAGAGGAAGCCUGAGAAGUCUGCCCGCGGCGAUGCUGAGCAUCAGAGAGAGGAUGCCAGCCUCCUCGCCUCCUUUUCAUCCCUCUAAAAUGGAAUUCCAAAGCUCAGGCCCACAACUCAGUCUAAGAGGACUUUGCUACACCUCAGCAUCUCAAACACCCAUUUGGAGAGCGGAUUGUGUCUCUGCUUUCUGCAUUCC